rnacentral:antisense_RNA from 1 species
ACUUUAUAAAGAGGUUUAAUUGGCUCGGCUGUACAGGAAGCAUGGCUGGGGAGGCCUCAGGAAACCCACAAUCAUGGUAGAAGGCUAAGGGGAGGGAGGCAUGUCUUACAUGGCCAAAGCAGGAGGAAGAGAGAUUGAAGGGGGAGAUGCCACACGCUUAACCAGAUCUCGUGAGAACUCCCUAUCAUGAGAACAGCAAAGUGGGAGGUGCCACACACUUCUAAACAACCAGAUUUCGUGAGAGCUCACUAUAAUGAGAACAGCAAGGGGGAGGUGCUGCACACUUAACCAGGUCUCGCGAGGCUCACUUUCAUGAGAACAGCAAGGGGGAGUUGCCACACAACCAGAUCUCCUGAGAGCUCACUAUCAUGAGAACAGCUAUGGGGAGUUUCCACACUCUUAACCAGAUCUCCUGAGAGCUCACUAUCAUGAGAACAGCGAGGGUGAGUUGCCACACACUUAACCAGAUCUUGUUGAGAGCUCACUAUCAUGAGAACAGUGAGGGGGAGUUGUUACACAACCAGAUCUCGUGAGAGCUCACUAUCAUGAGAACAGCGAGGGGGAGUUUCACACACUUAACCAGAUCUUUGAGAGCUCACUUAUAAAUGAGAGAUUUCUCACACUAGUUCAUGAGAGCUCCUAUCAUGAGAAAGUGAGGGGAGUUGUACACACUAACCAGAUCUCAUGAGAGCUCACUCAUAGAACCAAGGGAGUGACACUACCAGUCUCGUGAGAGCUCACUAUCAUGAGAACAGCGAGGGGGAUUCCACCCCCGUGAUACAAUCACUUCCCACCAGGCCCCUCCUCCAACACUGGGGCUUACAGUUCAACAUGAGAUUUGGGUGGGGACACAAAUCCAAACCAUAUUACUUGGCAACAGUCUUAGACCAAAAGCAUUUAAGAGUUGAUUGUUAUUUCAAGCUGUGUUAAGGUACAUUGAUAGACCUGCUUCAUUUUAGACUCUUCAGUAAGAUAGUUUAUAGUCUAUUUACUAUAGUUCCAUUUUUUUCCCCUUAAAGAAACUUUUGGCAUUUUAAAAAAGAAAAAAUUGACAUGAUCUUAUUUUCUGUAACCAAAUAGCAUACAGAAGUCAUGUUUUUAAAGCAACUACAGUCUCUUCAUGUUUUUUUGAGACAGGGUCUUGCUUUGUUAUCACCCAGGCUAGAGGGCAGUGGUGUGAUAACAGCUCACCGCAGCCUCGACCUCCAGGGCUCAAUUGAUCUUCUCACCUCAGCCUCCUGAGUAGCUGGAACUACAGGCGUGUGCCACCAUGCCUGGUUAAUGUUUUUUUUUUAAAGAUGGGGUUUCACUAUGUUGCCCAGGCUGGUCUUGAACUCCUGGGCUCAAGCAAUCUGCAUGCUUCAGUCUACCAAGGUUUUGGGAUUACAGGCGUGAGCCACCACACCUGGCUUACAGUUUAUUUUUAAAAUAGCUUUAUUGAAAUGUUAUUCACAUACCAUAAACUUCACCCAUUUAAAGUGUACAUUUCAGUGAUUUUUAGAUAUAUUCACAGGGUUUUGCAACCAUCACUGUUACUAAUUUGCAGAACACCUUUUCACUUAGAAAGCCUGUAUUCUUUUUUUUUUUUUUUUUUGAGAUGGAGUCUCACUCUGUCGCCCAGGCUGGCAUGUGGUGGCAUGAUCUUUGUUCACUGCAACCUCCACCUCGGGUUCAAGCAAUUUUCCUGCCUCAGCCUCCCAAGUAGCUGGGAUUACAGGCGCACACCGCCACGCCCAGCUUAGUUUUGUAUAUUUUUUGUAGAGACAGGGUUUUGCCAUGUUGCCCAGGCUGGUCUCAAACUGGGCUCAAGCGAUCCACCUGCCUUGGCCUCCCAAGGUGCUGGGAUUACAGGCUGUGGAGGGAGGAUUGCUUGAGCCCAGGAGUUUGAGGCCAGCAUGAGCAACAUAAUGAGACCCUUUGGGUGAGACUCUACAAAAAAAAUGGAAAAAUUAGCUGGGCAUGGUGGCCCGUGCCUGUAGUCUCAGCUACUGAGAAAGCUGAGGCAGGUUUGCUUCCUGCAGUGAGCCAAGUUUGUGCCAUUGCACUCUAGCUUGGGCGACAGAGCGAGACCCUGUCUCAAAAAAAAAAACAACGAGUAAAGAUUGUUGCUCCAUUUUAAAACAACAGCCUGUUUUGUGCAGGUCAGCUUCAUAGUAAGA